GCCCGCUUGGUGGAAUGGUAGACACAACAGACUUAAAAUCUGUCGGCCUUCGGUCGUGCCAGUUCGAGUCUGGCAGCGGGCACCA
rnacentral:tRNA from 1 species